CCCAACCUUUAGAUCCCAAAGUCAUGGGUAAUCCAACAAUAUCUUCAAGGGUGAUAACCCUGCCACCAAAUCCUUGGAGGAGUGUUUUAAUAGGCUUGAGUUGCUCCACUAAGAUACCUAUCUAAACAAAAGCUUCAUGAGACAGUACAUUAGCUGCACUUCCGUUAUCCACAAGAAUUCUCUUGACCUCGAAGUUAGCUAUGAUAGCUGAUAUGACUAGGGUGUCAUCAUGGGGGAAGGAUAUUCCUUCCAAAUCCUUGGACCCGAAGGUGAUAUCUUUCGUAUGAGCAAGAUCCGUAUUGGAAGAGGCUGGAAGCUGUCUAGCAUACUGCUUACGUCCACUGUUGGUGUCUCCUCCUGAAGCUGUUCCUCCGAUAAUAACGUUAAUAGUGCCUGCCAUUGGUGGUUCACCACCACGCUCUUCCUGUAUGUUAUUCUGCUUGUUCCUAGGGCGUUUUUCAUGGCCAGUGUAAGAGCCCAAAAAACCCCUCCUGAUGAGAGCCCCAAUUUGUUGCUUCAGAGCCAAACAACCCUCAGUGGUAUGUCCGUGGUCCCGGUGGAAGUCACAGUACUUGGUUCUAUCUCUGUUUUCAGGUAAUGAUCACAUUCUGGAAGGCCACUUAAGUUCUUUGAGAUCCUUGAUCUCCAUCAGGAUGUUGGACCUUGAUGUAUUCAAGGGAGUAAAGGUUUCUUGUCGGGGGUUUUAUCUUGGCUUGAUCCGAGGAUUGUCGUCUCGUUGAUUGGGUUCACGCUGUCUCUUAUUAUCAGCCCUAAGUAAAGGUGAAACGUCAUUUCUUGGGGUUAGAGUUUCUUCCAUAUUGAUG
rnacentral:lncRNA from 1 species